GAUGAACGCUGGCGGCGUGCCUAAUACAUGCAAGUCGAGCGAACGGACGAGAAGCUUGCUUCUCUGAUGUUAGCGGCGGACGGGUGAGUAACACGUGGAUAACCUACCUAUAAGACUGGGAUAACUUCGGGAAACCGGAGCUAAUACCGGAUAAUAUUUUGAACCGCAUGGUUCAAAAGUGAAAGACGGUCUUGCUGUCACUUAUAGAUGGAUCCUCGCUGCAUUAGCUAGUUGGUAAGGUAACGGCUUACCAAGGCAACGAUGCAUAGCCGACCUGAGAGGGUGAUCGGCCACACUGGAGCUGAGACACGGUCCAGACUCCUACGGGAGGCAGCAGUAGGGAAUCUUCCGCAAUGGGCGAAAGCCUGACGGAGCAACGCCGCGUGAGUGAUGAAGGUCUUCGGAUCGUAAAACUCUGUUAUUAGGGAAGAACAUAUGUGUAAGUAACUGUGCACAUCUUGACGGUACCUAAUCAGAAAGCCACGGCUAACUACGUG
rnacentral:rRNA from 1 species